rnacentral:rRNA from 1 species
AUACGUAGGUGGCAAGCGUUGUCCGGAAUUAUUGGGCGUAAAGCGCCUGUAGGCGGUUUGGUAAGUCGGUCGUGAAAAUGCGGUGCUUAACGCCGUAUGGCGAUUGAAACUGCUGAACUUGAGUGCAGGAGAGGGAAGGGGAACUCCCAGUGUCGCGGUGAAAUGCGUAGAUUUUGGGAAGAAAACCUGUGGCGAAGGCGCCUUUCUGGACUGUGUCUGACGCUCAGAUGCGAAAGCCAGGGUAGCGAACGGGAUUAGAUACCCCGGUAGUCCUGGCCGUAAACGAUGGGUACUAGGUGUGGGAGGUAUCGACUCCUUCCGUGCCGGAGUUAACGCAAUAAGUACCCCGCCUGGGGAGUACGGCCGCAAGGCUUAAACUUAAAGGAAUUGACGGGG